ensembl:lncRNA
AUUUCAUGUGCUCCAGUCCUUGUCUCUCUGCUCCCGAUCCCUUCUCACUACAAGAUGAAGCAGGCAGCUGACAUCGACAAAACCAGGCCUUAUUCACACCAGAGAAGUGUCCUGCUUUUGCGGUUUUGCCUAUGGAUGCAGGACUGUUCCCUGGCCCCAUCACACAGAUUGUCAAUGGUCAAUAUGAGGUUGACACCAUGAGUUGUGCUGGAGCAUCAUCCCAGAGCCUCAACCUGCCACAUCCUCUGCUCGACACUUCUGUGUGUUGCCUGAGAUCUGGGCAAAGUAUUCAAACAGCUGUAUACAGGCCCUAGGUGGUCGGUAUUUUUAAGGUUAAAUGAUUUAUGUGUUUCUUCUAAUGUAGCUUCUAAUGUUACUAUGUUUAGCUCUUUCAAAUGUAUUUGCAUGGGUUGUGUACUGUCCUCGGUGGGGUGUGCUAACUCCAACUAGACAGUGAGCUAAACUCUCUUCUAUUCAUGAACAUGAAGAAUGCCUUGAAUUCUUGUUUG